CCGGCGACCGGCGCACGGGUGAGUAACACGUAUGCAACCUGCCCUCUUCAGGGGGACAACCUUCCGAAAGGGAGGCUAAUCCCGCGUAUAUCGGUUUCGGGCAUCCGAGAUCGAGGAAAGAUUCAUCGGAAGAGGAUGGGCAUGNGGCGCAUUAGCUAGACGGCGGGGUAACGGCCCACCGUGGCGACGAUGCGUAGGGGUUCUGAGAGGAAGGUCCCCCACACUGGUACUGAGACACGGACCAGACUCCUACGGAAGGCAGCAG
rnacentral:rRNA from 1 species